UAAAAAUUAGUUAAUUUAUAACCUUGGCUUGUCAGGCCAAAAUUAUCGAAACUCGAUAUUUUUAA
rnacentral:tRNA from 1 species